rnacentral:rRNA from 1 species
CCUACGGGAGGCAGCAGUAAGGAAUAUUGGUCAAUGGACGAAAGUCUGAACCAGCCAUGCCGCGUGAAGGAUUAAGGUCCUCUGGAUUGUAAACUUCUUUUAUAGGGGACGAAAAAAAGGGCAUUCUUGCUCUCUUGACGGUACCCUGUGAAUAAGCACCGGCUAACUCCGUGCCAGCAGCCGCGGUAAUACGGAGGGUGCAAGCGUUAUCCGGAUUCACUGGGUUUAAAGGGUGCGUAGGCGGGUAGGUAAGUCAGUGGUGAAAUCUCGGAGCUUAACUCCGAAACUGCCAUUGAUACUAUCUAUCUUGAAUAUUGUGGAGGUUUGCGGAAUAUGUCAUGUAGCGGUGAAAUGCAUAGAUAUGACAUAGAACACCUAUUGCGAAGGCAGCAGGCUACACAUAUAUUGACGCUGAGGCACGAAAGCGUGGGGAUCAAACAGGAUUAGAUACCCUGGUAGUCCACGCCCUAAACCGAUGAUUACUCGACAUACGUGAUACACUAUGUGUGUCUGAGCGAAGCAUUAAGUAAUCCACCUGGAAGUACGUCCGCAAGGAUGAAACUCAAAGGAAUUAGACGG